AAGUGAAAGGGAAGAGUGGAAACCCUAGACGCCUCCAUUCUUUUUCCCUCUCUUUCCUCGUCACGUUGCCAGAUUUGGUAAUUUUGUGGGUCCAUAUUGGUGGUACUGCCUUUGUAAGGCUGAGAAUGGCAAGAGCAUUUAUUGCUUUGCCAUUUUCAUCGAUCCUUGUCCAAACGCGGUAUAGACACACGAGACGAGGACCUUCCACAGUAUGCUGCCUCCAGGUGUUAGUCUUGAUUGGUGGGCUCCACUUCUUCCUGGAGCAUUGACGCGUCUGGGUUCAUAUAUGUAUUUUGUGUGUUACAGGUAGGUCGGGGGCCCUGUCCCGACUUGUAUACUUCAGUGAUGUUCAUAGAGGCUUUGCAGACAGUUUCUUGUAUACAACUUAGUUAUGUCUUGUUAGUGGUUAUGUCGGUAUCGUGGGCCCAUUGUGCAUAUACAUAUGCAUGAUAUUAUAUUCAUAGUUAGCCUCCUUGGCCUUAUUUUUCCAUUCGAUACAUAGAAGAUGCAAGUUACAGCUUGGUUCGCUCGGCCCUAGUAAGGUGUCGGGUGCCAAUCACACCUUACCAAGGUUGGGGCGUGACAGUUGAAACUUCUAUAUUUGAGGGUAUAUUAUCUUUGUUUCAUCA